rnacentral:tRNA from 1 species
GUCCCGUUAGCUCAGUGGUAGAGCAUUUGACUUUUAAUCAAAGGGUCAUGCGUUCGAGUCGCAUACGGGACACCA